rnacentral:misc_RNA from 1 species
CAAUCUUCAGUCGCUAUACCCUAAACUUUUCAAGUUGUUAAAUAUUCUCCUCGAUCAAUCUUUUCUGAGAUAUGGGUAUUCAAUUGAUGGGGAUUGCUCAUGCUAAACAAAAGCUUCAACGAAGUCUUUCAACUAAAAUUGCAAGUAUUUUGGCUACUUCUCAUAAUGUUCCCAAAGGUCACAUUGCUGUCUACGUUGGGGAAGGCUACAGAAAGAGAUUUGUUAUUCCAAUAUCCUACUUGAAUCACCCUUUGUUCCUGGAGUUGCUAAAGCGUGCAGAGGAAGAGUUCGGUUUCGAUCAUCCAACGGGAGGUCUUUCAUUACCCUGCACUGAAGAGUAUUUCUCUAGUCUAACUUCAGUUUUAAGUUGCUCGUAGAAACAAAAGCUUCCGUUGCCAGAAUUCUUCUCUCAUGUCCAAUUGGGUUUCCAUUUCUAUUUGUCCACCAAUUCUUUUCCCGCUUCCGAAGUUGUAAACAGUUUGAGACAUCAAUUCUGUCUCAGUUUAGUUUUUCCUUCUAGCACUUUGCUUAUUAAAUUCAAUUUUGUGUAGAUAUUAUGUAAGUUUGUAAUGACUUCUCCCUUGUAGAAUUUCGAAAGGAGUUGUUUGCUAACAAAAAAAAUCAACCCUUUAUUA